UACGGGAAGGGGCAAGCGUUGUUCGGAAUCAUUGGGCGUAAAGGGCGCGUAGGUGGUUCUGUAUGUCUACCGUGAAAGCGUACGGCUCAACCGUAUUUUGUCGGUGGAAACUGCAGGACUUGAGGCUGGGAGGGGCUGGUGGAAUUCCCUGUGUAGCGGUGAAAUGCGUAGAGAUGGGGGAGAACACUCGUGGCGAAGGCGGCCAGCUAGACCAGUUCUGACACUGAGGCGCGCAGCGUGGGGAGCAAACAGG
rnacentral:rRNA from 1 species